AGACCAGACAUCUGCAAUCUUUCCGUCAUAUUCUUUCUUCAAUAACACCUCUGGAGCAAUAUAUGCAGGUGUACCAACAGUUGACUUAGGUUGUGAAUGCAACACCGAGGACUUAGAAUAUCCAAAAUCACAAAUCUUUAACCUUGGUGCAGGACUUCCAUCCAGUAAUGUAUUCUCUAAUUUCAAGUCUCUAUGGCACACUUGCAUAGCAUGACAAUAACUGACCCCUGAUAUGAGUUGUUGGAAGAAAAACCGUGCCUCAUCCUCGCUAAAACGACCAGCAUUACAUAUGCGCUCAAACAGCUCCCCUCCAGAUGCAAAUUCCAUCACAAUAGCCAAAUGAGUUGGUGUGAGUAUGACCUCUUUAAAUCUGACUAUGUUAGGAUGCCUCAAUGAUCUAUGGUUGAUGAUUUCUCUCUUAACAUUUUCAUCAAUCUUCUCACCUCUCUCGAUGUACUUAACAGCAACAAGUUCAUUAGUCUGCCUAUCUCUCAUAAGCCUUGCAACACCAAAAUUCCCAGCACCAAUAUCCCGUACAAGUUCAUAUCUAUCGCUAUCGUGCAUGAUCGGUACGUCCAUACCUGGUCCUACUGUCACUGCCGUCCGAUCCAUAGUUCAACACAACCUCUCUCUCUUUUUAACUUGAACAAGCUACCUCUCACAUUAUUACAACCCACCCUUUUCUCUACAGCAAAUUAAAGUAGAUGAUGAGAUCGCAGUUCUGUUAGGGUUUUGAUUGAGCAGACGUGUUCUUCAUCAACCGGCAUAUAUAUAUAUAUAUAUCAAUAUCUUUUUUGUUGUGUGCUCAGAGGAGCUCGUGAAGUAAGCUGCUUUUCUUCUUUAUUUCUUUAUUAGUUUUUUCAGCUACUUCUUCUUUGGGUUUCCAAAG
rnacentral:misc_RNA from 1 species